AUAGCCACGAGUGAAAGUUAGGAAACUAGCAUUCAUUUUGUACUAUGAUUCAAUUUAAAUCAUAUACAUUACAUCCAACUUGUAAAUUUACAAUUCCUUACAUUUCAUUUCAUCAUUUCAUCAUUUCUUUCUUACAUCACAUUUGCUCAUAAUAAAACUUUACAUUCUUUUCUUUACAUCAUUUCUCAUCAAACACAAAAGAUGAACAUAGGAAAACUCUACUAGCAAAAU
rnacentral:lncRNA from 1 species